ensembl:lncRNA novel transcript
AGCCUCCCAAAGUGCUGGGAUUAUAGGCGUGAGCCACUGUGCCCGGCCAAGAGCAACUUUUUUAAACCUACAGUCCAAUUCUUUUCCCUUAUCUCUCAGGAGACUUUGGGCUCACCUAGGAGCCCACUUUUACCUCCUUCCUCAGUUGUGCAUAUAACAGAGGAAGGGGCAGAAUCGGCCUUCAGGGUUUAAAGGGGCCAUGAGUCGGGGUCAGCCCUGAGGAGGAGUGGGGUGAAUGCUAUCCCAGGAUAGAGAUGGAGCCCUGGUGGCCUGAUUCCUCCUGGCCUGGCCAGUACCACUGAAGCUUCCCAACACCUCCAAGCUUAUUAAAGAACCAGAGUGACUUGCCUGUCCCAGAGAGACUUGGGAUGGUCAGAAACGGGGGUGAGGGGCCCGGGGCAAGCCAAGCCUGUAAAUGAUGGCAGCCUGGGGCUUUAGUUUGGGAACACACUCACACCUCCUACAGGUCAGGCUGCACACUCGUGUUAUUUGAUAACCCCAUCUGCAGGUGAGGAAACUGAGGCGCAGUUAUUUGUCCUCAGGCAUGCUCCUUAGAGGCCACUUGAUUGCAGAGAAGGUCUACAGAGCAGUGGUUAGAACUUGGCCCUGAGGACAGAGCUUUUGCUCCGUAUGAGGCUGGCAGGUAACGAUCUUCUCAGUUUUCUCCCCAGGAAUCUGGAACGAUGAAGGUGAUGAUUGUGCCUGUGGCCAAGACCGGGAGAACCCUGGAUCCCUACACCUUCCCCACCCCUGGAAUGUCACUAUACAUAUCUGACUUCUUCUGAUGUUGCCUUUGACCCUAAAGUCAAUAUGAUAAAGUAACAAGAAGCUGGGACAGAGGAACAAACACAGCCCACUCAAGCAGUGGUGGCAACAUUCUGUUAGAAAGGAGGGGAGUCAAAGAAAAAAACACCCCUCCGCCCAUCUCCUUAUCACCUCCCUAAAGACAGAGGAGAACAUGGACACCCUCCAUCCUGAUAGACAUGCCAUGUGGUCAGUUUGUGCGGUAAACAGGAAAAAAAAAAAACCUAAAGAUAUUGUAGACCUUUAUUUUCUUUAAAUCUCCUAAUAAAAACAUUAAACUUUCAAGAAGAUUCCAAACUGA